UACGUAGGGUGCAAGCGUUGUCCGGAAUUAUUGGGCGUAAAGGGCUCGUAGGCGGUCCGUCACGUCGGGAGUGAAAACUUGGGGCUUAACCCCAAGCCUGCUUCCGAUACGGGCGGACUAGAGGUAGGCAGGGGAGAACGGAAUUCCUGGUGUAGCGGUGAAAUGCGCAGAUAUCGGGAGGAACACCAGUGGCGAAGGCGACUUCCUGGCCUGUUCUUGACGCUGAGGUGCGAAAGCCAGGGGAGCGAACGGG
rnacentral:rRNA from 1 species